rnacentral:rRNA from 1 species
CACGCUGUAAACGAUGAGCACUAAGUGUCGGGAAACCGGUGCUGAAGUUAACACAUUAAGUGCUCCGCCUGAGUAGUACGGUCGCAAGACUGAAACUCAAAGGAAUUGACGGGCACCCGCACAAGCGGUGGAGCAUGCCGUUUAAUUCGACAAUACGCGAAAAACCUUACCAAGACUUGACAUCCCCAGCAAAGCUAUAGAAAUAUAGUGGAGGUUACCUGGGUGACAGGUGG